UGCUGAUGUGUGCACCCCAGCCACCCAGUAGCUUGCUCACUGGUGGCAUUAUCACGAUUUCUACUGCAAACCUUCAACCAAAGCCUCCUCCUCCCCUGCUACUUCCCACAGACAACUCUGAACAGGCUGUGGGCAGCACUACUUCCUUCUACCUGAGGGCAGAAUACAUAUGAGAGGAAAGCAAAGUGGCAGGAUCCAGGAGAGGGAGCAACCAGAGCAGUGAAUACAUAGGGUAAAACCAGGAAAUGCCUACCCACAAGACCCACAGAAAAAGCAAUGGGUCACACAUGCUCCUACAUGGAAUGCUUGGAUGCAAGGCUUCACCAAGAAUUUUUCCUCUCUGACGGUCAAUGGCACCAGGCGUUUCCCUGUCUCUUCUUCC